GCAAACAGAAAGUACAGCCCAUGGAAGAUGGUUCUGAAGGCAGCCGCCCAAAGGAGAUGAGACCACAAGAGCUGGUAAGACUUUCAACCAGAACCCAGCCUCGAUCCCUCCAUGGAAGAUGAGCUAGGUCACCACUGACCUGGCAUGAAUAGGAGCCAGUCAGCAAGAGGGGCACCUGGAAGAGUGCUGGAGAAGGAAAAUGGUUACGUCUAAAGCUCUUUCCCAUCACGUUUGGCACCCUGAAUGAUCUGCUGAAACAGAAAUCCAUUUCUUUUUUAUUAUUGGAGAAUUCAUUUGUAAUCAUCAGUUUGGUUUAAAGAACACAGCAUGGAAGACAGAAUUUACAUCGACAUCACAAGGCUGCUGACUUGAGGAUGCUUGGAAUGAAGAACAGCUGAAGUGUUCCGUAUAACAGACUCACGGGAAGAUCUGCCCUAGACACUUCCUGCUGUGUACCCUGACCCACCCUACUCCCAAGAAAGACAAGCCGCCACAAAGUACCAGGUUACAGUCGUCACAUCUCCAGCGUAGUCCAGCACUGCGCCACAAACCUACACCUGACUCUCCAUUGCAGACAUCCAAGUGCCUAUAUGCUCUCUUAACUAAACAAAACAAGCACAUAGGCUGUAGAGUAAAAGAUGAAACUAAUGGGCUGAAGAGAUGGCUCAGUGGUUAAGAGCACUGGCUACUCUUCCAGAGGACCAAGGUUCAAUUCUCAGCACCCAAAUGACAGUUCACAAUUGUCUGUAACUCCUGUUCUAGAGGACCUGACACCCUCACACAGACAUACAUGCAGGCAAAAUACCACUGCUCAUGAAAUAAAAAUAAAUUAAAAAAAAUUUUUUAC